ensembl:lncRNA
CGCAGGGCCGGAGCCUGUGCCUGCGCCUGCGCCUGCGCCGGGUUUGUCCGGUACGGCUGUGCCGCUCGGUGUGCACCGCUCCUCGGGACAGCGUGUGCCGGGGCCCUCCUCGGGAAAUAUUUCUUCCUUCUAUGGAAACCAACGAGCACCCGGGCCUGCACUCUUGAUAUAAAUACCCGGUGAUGACCGACUUAUUGCGGGCGACCGGGCGACGAAUCCACCGUUGGGACAGCACUGCCGGUGUCAGGCCGUGUAAGGAGUCGCUGUCCUUCUGUUUGUGAGCUCCCUCCAGGCACGUGAAGGCCGCAGUGAGGUCUCCCCAGAGCCUUCUCCAGGCCGCACGAGCCCAACUCCCUCAGCCCUUCCUGUCGGUGAGGCGCUCCGGCCCUCCCAGCACCUUUGCGGGAUUACGGCGGCCCGAGUGCAGCACCUCGCGCGUGGCCGUGUUGCACCUCAUCUGGUUCACGCGGUGCUGCUUUUCAAGCCUGUCCCGGGCCCCCCUGGAGGGCACACACAGCGCUGCCAUCACUCACCGCUGCGCGAGAUGCAGCUUCUGGUCCCUGGAAUGCUGUGCAGCAUGACAUUAGCACAGAGCUCCUGUCAGAGCAGCGCAGAUCCCAGCCCGGCCAGGCUGCCUGUGCCUGCUCCUGGGCUCCCAGCACUGACAGUGCCCACCAGGCCCAUCUGUGUGGGUCGGGGGGGAGAGAGAGGCAGCAGGCCUUUGGGGUCGGGUCUGGGGGGCUGUGGGGGCCACAGACUAUCACUGAGAUACGAAAUGUCUCUGCAGAGCUGGAAGGUCAGGAGCUGAGGAGAAUAUGAAGGGCUCCCAUCAUGCUGCUGAGUGCCCCUCCUCUCCUGGCCGUACGCUGAGGGCAGGUGGAGGCAGGGACAAGGGUCAGGAGCAAGGGCAGAAUGAUUUUUUGCUUUCUCAGUCUUCCUAGAAAGAAAGAAAAAAAAAAAUCUAAAAUCUUUAAGAUAUGUGUGGGAUCUGUUGAGUCACGGCCUGAACCACGGAUUGAUCACCUGUGGAAAGGACCCAGUCAGCCCUGAGAGCACAGGUGGAUUUGCCACAAGGUUUCUUACAAUGACUAACAGUAGAAGGAAAUGUGCUCUGAAGGGGUGUGCUUGCAAGUCGGCUCAAGAGAAAUGAAAAUCGUUGUAGCGGGGACCCUGCCUGGGAGCAGAGCAUUACCAAAUACGUUACUAUGCAAAGAAUCUCAUGUUGAAUAAUUUAGAAAUACCUUUUUGUUAGUGGUCAAGUAAAACAUGGCAACAGAGGGUAAUCUCAGGAAAAAGAGGGGAUAAAAACAUCUCUAUCAAGCCCAGACUUGAUGGGAAAGGAAGAGCUGAACAAGUGUGCGUGUCUGGGGGUGUUCAUCUUCUAGACUGCACCCAGAGAAGGAGAAUGAUUGUGAUGCUGCAGUCUCGGAACUCCAGUCAGUACACAAAUGGAAGGAUUUCUGGGCUGAGAUGAAUUUAUCUCCGCAGCUUCUAAUCUUUUGGAUUUUGUGUUCUAGUGCAGAGAAGCUUUUGGGCAUGAUUUAUCAUCACUAUAGCUAACACUGUAUGGGAAAAAAACUGACUUUAGAUCUUACAUCAAAGCUUUUAACAAAGCUUGUUUCCCUGGAUUUUACUUGCUUUCCAUUGUCUCCACCUCUCUGGUGCCUCUUUAAAAUAUAUGCCUAAUCUGAAAGCUGAGUGCAAGAAAUAUUUGUCUGACUUGUUUGCUCCCAUUCCGAAUCUUAUAAACACUAGUCUCUGUUGUGAAGGAGUCAUGCAUCAUUAAGAGUAAAUCUUUCUCGUACAAAAGCAAGAAAACAGAAGCAGUUCAAAUGUUGCUUCUUACAGCAGUACAGCAUCUCAGAACAGAGAAAAACACGGCUUGCAGAAACUUGAUUUCUGUCUUAUCAAAACA